GAUGAACGCUGGCGGCGUGCCUAACACAUGCAAGUCGAGCGAUUCUCUUCGGGGAAGAGCGGCGGACGGGUGAGUAACGCGUGGGUAACCUGCCCUGUACACACGGAUAACAUACCGAAAGGUAUGCUAAUACGGGAUAAUAUGCUUUAGUCGCAUGGCUGAAGUAUCAAAGCUCCGGCGGUAUAGGAUGGACCCGCGUCUGAUUAGCUAGUUGGUAAGGUAAUGGCUUACCAAGGCGACGAUCAGUAGCCGACCUGAGAGGGUGAUCGGCCACAUUGGAACUGAGACACGGUCCAAACUCCUACGGGAGGCAGCAGUGGGGAAUAUUGCACAAUGGGCGAAAGCCUGAUGCAGCAACGCCGCGUGAGCGAUGAAGGCCUUCGGGUCGUAAAGCUCUGUCCUCAAGGAAGAUAAUGACGGUACUUGAGGAGGAAGCCCCGGCUAACUACGUGCCAGCCGCCGCGGUAA
rnacentral:rRNA from 1 species